AGCUCCAAUAGCGUAUACUAAAGUUGCUGCGGUUAAAAAGCUCGUAGUUGGACCUCAGGCUUCAGGCGGGCGGUCCGUCUCUCGGCGCGAUCUGCCCGACCUGGCCUCCACGCCGGCAUCGUCCCCUGGUGCUCUUGACUGAGUGUCUCGGGCGGCCGGAACGUUUACUUUGAAGAAAUUGGAGUGCUCAAAGCAGGCCUAGCGCCCGCACAAUGGUGCAUGGAAUAAUGGAAUAGGGCCUCGGCUCUAUUGUGUUGGUUUUAGGAGUCGAGGCAAUGAUUAAUAGAAGCGGACGGGGGCAUUCGUACUGCGGCGCUAGAGGUGAAAUUCUUGGACCGCCGCAAGACGGACUACAGCGAAAGCAUUUGCCAAGCAUGUUUUCAUUA
rnacentral:rRNA from 1 species